UAAGUUAUCAUUAAUUGUUAAUAAAUAUUUUUUAGGAUGGAAAGUAUUGUAAAGACUAUCAAGAAUUGGCUGAACUUACUUUGAUGGUACUCUCAGCCACCGACAGAUUCAAACUUUACAAUCCUGAUGCUGUUCAUCAUGCCAGAUUUAUGUGUAAAAGUUUAUUUUACUUAAAACUAUUUCUACUCAUGGAAAGAGUUCCUGAAAUCAAUGAAGAGAGCAGGGAUGAAAUCACAGAAAUGACAAAGUUUCUUUCUAUUUUUUACACUGAGUGGUUUCUCUGAGCGGAGUUAAGUUUAGCUGCUCUGGCACAGGACAUGAAAACAUUAUAGCAGAUGAAAAGAUUCGAGAAAUGGAAUAAAGCUGGCGGUCAAGCAGUUUCUAAAUCCAUACAACGACAUACUUGGUACCUUGAUCCAUAUUUAGUCAUUUUAACAAUUGCAGAUAAGAAAUGUCAAAAAUAAGGCGAUAUGGCUAAGAGCCUCCCAGUUUAGUUCCACGAAUUACAGAGAAGUCAUGGCUUUAUUUGUUUAUAAAAAAAUGUAGCGUUUAUUGUUUUUAAACAAAUAUUGUAUUAUUUUGGUGA